UUUCCGCUUUCCGAGGUAUGGCCGUUUCGCUUCGCCGGUGCGGUGCCGCGGCGAAGGCUGUGGGAGGACAUGGCGUCGGAGAUUCGUCCUGGCGGCUUCUAGCCGAGGCGGCGGCCCGGUCCCGCCGACGUUCGAGCUCCUGCGGGAGCAAACUCCUCCAACUCCACGCCGAAGCCGACCUGACCCAAUCCAAAAGGCAUCAUGAAGGGGAGGGUGGAAGAAUGCGCACUACUAUUCCCUGCAGAACCUCUACUAAUCGACCGGUUCAAUGACAAGCUUGUAUUUUUAGACAUCGGAUCCAACCUUCGACGGUCUAUUUUCUGCUCUUCUUCACGACUUUCUUGAAGUCGAAUAAGUUGAGAGUAAGGACCAUCUGGGUUUAGCACCAAUUCGUCAUGGGUACCUAUAUGAAACAUACAUUUUGUGUAGGAAAUUGCUCAAAUUAGUUAAAAUAUGCGAAAGAGGUGAUAUAUAAAAGGUGUGUUAUGGGAA